GAAUUUACGGUGAAAGAGAAAAGUAUUUUAAAUAAUUCUAUAACAGAGAGUAACACCAAGGCUGUGAGUGUUAUAUAGAUAGUUUAAAAGAAGUUCGCUCUGGAGUAUCAAAUCUGAAAUUAAGUAGGUUUUGACGUUUGAAACGCGUUAAGUUUCUUCGAGUGGUUUAUAAAUACAUAUUUAUAAGCUACUAGGGUGGUACCGCGAAUAAUAGCUUUCGUCCCUAGC
rnacentral:ncRNA from 1 species